UACGUAGGGUGCGAGCGUUAAUCGGAAUUACUGGGCGUAAAGCGUGCGCAGGCGGUUUUGCAAGCCGGAUGUGAAAUCCCCGGGCUCAACCUGGGAAUGGCAUUCGGGACUGCAAGGCUGGAGUGCGGCAGAGGAGACUGGAAUUCCUGGUGUAGCAGUGAAAUGCGUAGAUAUCAGGAGGAAUACCGAUGGCGAAGGCAGGUCUCUGGGCCGACACUGACGCUCAUGCACGAAAGCGUGGGGAGCAAACAGG
rnacentral:rRNA from 1 species